rnacentral:rRNA from 1 species
UACGGAAGGGGCAAGCGUUGUUCGGAAUCAUUGGGCGUAAAGGGCGCGCAGGUGGCUCUGUAUGUCUGCCGUGAAAGCAUACAGCUCAACUGUAUUGUGUCGGUAGAAACUGCAGGACUUGAGGCUGGGAGGGGCUGGUGGAAUUCCCUGUGUAGCGGUGAAAUUCGUAGAUAUCGGGAGGAACACCGGUGGCGAAGGCGGCGACCUGGGUCGAGACUGACGCUGAGGCGCGAAAGCUAGGGGAGCGAACGGG